UACGUAGGGGGCAAGCGUUGUCCGGAAUGACUGGGCGUAAAGGGCGCGUAGGUGGCUUAAUAAGUCUGGAGUGAAAGUCCUGCUUUCAAGGUGGGAAUUGCUUUGGAAACUGUUAGGCUUGAGUGUGGGAGAGGAUAGCGGAAUUCCCGGUGUAGCGGUGAAAUGCGUAGAGAUCGGGAGGAACACCAGUGGCGAAGGCGGCUAUCUGGACCAAGACUGACACUGAGGCG
rnacentral:rRNA from 1 species